rnacentral:rRNA from 1 species
GUGCCAGCAGCCGCGGUAAGACGAACCGUGCGAACGUUGUUCGGAAUCACUGGGCUUAAAGGGCGCGUAGGCGGGCUAUCAAGUCCGGGGUGAAAUCCUCCAGCUUAACUGGAGAACGGCCUCGGAUACUGAUGGUCUCGAGGAGGAUAGGGGCACACGGAACUGUGGGUGGAGCGGUGAAAUGCGUUGAUAUCCAUAGGAACUCCGGUGGCGAAAGCGGUGUGCUGGAUCCUUUCUGACGCUGAGGCGCGAAAGCCAGGGGAGCAAACGGGAUUAGAUACCCCGGUAGUCCUGGCCCUAAACGUUGGGUACUAGGUAGUAGACUAGACAUAGGUUUACUUCCGAAGCAAAAGUGCUAAGUACCCCGCCUGGGGAGUAUGGUCGCAAGGCUGAA